rnacentral:rRNA from 1 species
GUCCAUGCCGUAAACGUUGGGCACUAGGUGUGGGGUCCGUUUCCACGGGUUCUGCGCCGUAGCUAACGCAUUAAGUGCCCCGCCUGGGGAGUACGGCCGCAAGGCUAAAACUCAAAGGAAUUGACGGGGGCCCGCACAAGCGGCGGAGCAUGCGGAUUAAUUCGAUGCAACGCGAAGAACCUUACCAAGGCUUGACAUACACUAGAAGCGCGCAGAGAUGUGUGUGCCCUUGUGGCUGGUGUACAGGUGGUGCAUGGUUGUCGU